rnacentral:misc_RNA from 1 species
AUUGAAUCUUCCUUGACUGCGUCAGAAAGUUUGUUUUGGAAUUGAAGUUGUUAUCGCAUUGAAGUUGUAAACGCAUUUCAAAAAUGCAUCCUUUCAGAUGUUGUUGCAACCAAAACAUGUAAAAUCUACUCAUUUUAAUUGCUUUUAGUCAACAAAUUCAGUAGAAUUCUUUUCUCAAAAGGAGCUACAACAGCAAUGCCAAACAGACCCAAAAUGAGUAGAGAAUGAGAAGUUACUUGAAUGGUAUUAAUAAAUAGAAGUGUGGAGGAAUAGGUUGCUGAUAAAAUUAUCCUGCCAAUAAUUCCUAAGAUCAACGUACUCCACUAGAUGAGAUGUAGAGCCUUGCUAAGGAAGUCAAUCACGAAGGAAAGAAU